rnacentral:rRNA from 1 species
AUGCACCAUGCGAUGCGGUUGCGCUGCCUCCUCCAGCACCCGCCGCUCUGGUGCAAGUGCAGCUCCCUAGGAAUCUCCACGAGUGGCGGCGGUUGCCUCGUCCGGAGGUUCAGCGCAGUCGGGGCGCCGAGGCCGUGCGAUGCGGGGCGGCGGCUGUGCCGGUUCUACGGUUCCAAGGGCGGCGUAGGCAGCGCGGAGGCGAGGGGCGCCGGGGCAGCUGAGGCGGCGGCAGGGAGCAGCGGACGGUGCAGCGAGCAGGAGCACGCGCGCCUCGGGGAGAGGGACCAGCAGGAGUGGCUGAGCGGCGAGAGAUUCCUCAGCGACUGCAAGAAGCGUGAGUCGCCGUUCCUCACCAGGCGGGAGAGAUUCCGCAUCGAGUUCCUGCGCCGCGUCGUACCGUGGGAGAAGGGAAACCUCACAUGGCAGAAUUUCCCCUACUACGUCAACGAGAAUGUAAGGGAGCUGCUGAGAGAGUGCACGGCAUCCCACUUGCGGCACAAGGGCAUCACAUCAGAAUAUGGCUCUCGGCUACCAUCCUCUGGAGGGAGGAUAGUGCUCCAGAGCUUGCCAGGAACCGAACUCUACAGAGAGAGAUUGGUAAGAGCUCUUGCACAUGAGUUGCGGGUGCCACUACUGGUCCUGGACAGCAGUGUUCUAGCUCCAUAUGAUUUUGGGGAAGAUUAUUCAGAAAGCGAGGAAGAAGAUGAGCAUGGCGAGUCAGAAGAUGAAGGUUCAGAGUCUGAGAUGGAAGAUGAAGGCGAUGAAGAUUGGACAAGCAACAACAAAGCUAAAUCAGCUGAAAGUGAUGACGAGGAUGCUCUAAAAUCCGUGAAAGAACUCAAAAAGUCCGUGGAUGACCUCAAGAAGCUGGUCCCAUGUACUAUUGAGGAAUUUGCCAAGAGAGUAGUUGGUGAAGAAGAAGGUACAUCAUCAGAAUCCCCUGAAACAGCCAAGUCACCAGAGGAAGAUAAAAGGCCUUUCCAAAGGGGAGAUAAAGUCAAGUAUGUUGGUUCCUCGGCAGUUGUUGAAGCAGAUCAGAGGAUCAUUUUGGGGAAAUUACCUACUCAAGAUGGCUCGAGAAAUGCGUAUACUUAUAUUAGUGGCAGGACUCUGUCAAAUGGGCAGCGCGGAGAAGUAUAUGAGAUCAAUGGGGAUCAAGUAGCUGUCAUAUUUGACCCUCCUGCAGAGAAGCUGCUUGAUGGUGACGAAAAUAGCAAGGAGGAAAAUGCAAAACCAUCUAUUUACUGGGUUGAUGCUCAAGAUAUUGCGCAUGACCAUGAUAUUGAAUCAGAAGAUUGGCAUAUCGCAAUCGAAGCACUUUGUGAGGUUCUUCCAUCUCUAGAGCCAGUCAUUGUCUACUUUCCAGACAGUUCCCAGUGGUUAUCUAGAGCAGUACCAAAAUCAAAUCGCACGGAGUUUAUCCAAAAGGUAGACGAAAUGUUUGACCAACUCACCGGACCAGUAGUAAUGAUUUGUGGGCAGAACAUGCUGGCAGACAAGGAUAAGGAACCUCCAACACUGAGGUUUCAGGAUCUCACUCGCCUGUCUUCACUGCCAUCGUCCCUGAAGCGUUGGCUAAAAGUACAAAAUGAUACAAGAUCCAGUGAUAUAUCAAAGAUCUUCACAAACAGUUUCGUUGUUCCCCUUCCAGAGGAAGGUGAGCAACUAAGAGUUUUCAAUAACCAGAUUGAAGAGGAUAGGAAAAUUAUUAUUUCAAGGCAUAACCUCGUUGAAUUACACAAGGUUCUUGAAGAGAAUGAACUAUCAUGCGUGGAGCUUAUGCAUGUGAAGUCUGACGGUGUCGUUUUGACAAAGCAAAAAGCAGCGAAAGUUAUUGGAUGGGCUAGAAGUCAUUAUCUGUCAUCAACAGUUCUUCCCUCUAUUGAGGGUGACAGAUUAACCAUUCCACGUGAGAGUCUUGAUUUAGCCAUUGAGAGGCUGAAGGAACAGGUUACUAAAUCUAAGAAUCUUUCUCAAAAUCUCAAGAAUUUGGCGAAAGAUGAGUACGAACGCAAUUUCAUAUCUUCUGUUGUACCCCCUGAUGAAAUUGGAGUGAAAUUCGAUGAUAUUGGCGCGCUUGAGGAUGUCAAGAGGACACUGGAUGAGCUCGUUGCUCUUCCAAUGAGGAGACCAGAGCUUUUUUCUCAUGGCAAUUUAUUAAGGCCCUGCAAAGGUGUUUUGCUUUUUGGCCCUCCUGGCACAGGAAAAACACUCUUGGCAAAGGCACUCGCGACUGAAGCUGGGGCAAAUUUUAUCAGCAUAACCGGUUCUACAUUGACAUCAAAGUGGUUUGGAGAUGCUGAGAAGUUGACGAAGGCCCUUUUCUCUUUUGCUAGCCGACUAGCUCCUGUCAUCAUAUUUGUAGACGAGGUUGACAGCUUACUUGGCGCCAGAGGGGGUGCACUUGAGCAUGAAGCAACAAGGAAGAUGCGGAAUGAAUUUAUGGCAGCUUGGGAUGGUCUAAGGUCCAAAGAGAACCAACGGAUCCUUAUUCUUGGUGCUACGAAUCGUCCAUUUGAUUUAGACGAUGCUGUUAUACGGCGUUUACCUAGACGGAUAUAUGUUGGCCUUCCAGAUGUGGAAAACCGAAAGAAAAUUCUCAAGAUUUUACUGGCUACAGAAAACUUAGAAUCUGAUUUUAAAUUUGAUGAACUUGCUAAUGCGACAGAAGGUUAUUCAGGAAGUGACCUGAAGAACCUAUGCAUAGCUUCAGCAUACAGGCCAGUUCAGGAACUUUUAGAAGAAGAAAAGAAGGGACGUGUGAGUAGCAACAGCACUCACUUAAGACCCCUUGUAUUGGAUGAUUUUAUACAGGCAAAAGCCAAGGUAAGCCCGUCUGUUUCUUAUAACGCAACAAGUAUGAAUGAAUUAAGAAAAUGGAACGAACAGUAUGGCGAAGAUGGCAGCAGGACAAAAUCGCCGUUUGGGUUUGGCAACUGA